GAAUCAUUAAGGUUGGAAAGGCCACUAAGAUCAUCUAGUCCAACCGCCAACCCAUCAUUGCCAUGCCUGCUAAAAGACCCCCAACCAUCCACAGAAAACUCUCUGACAUGUAACGCUCAAAAGACACAAGGUCUGGGUACAGAAACCCCUUCUGAUUUAGCUGAGUGUUUUCUCACAUGUUAAAAUUCUGCUCUCUUUGAGGGGACUGAAACACUGUAAUACAUUUUCCUGGAUGGAGAUCACUUUAACCAUGGGCUUAUGUGCUUUGCCUAUCCAAAUGUGCUUAUGUUAAACCUUACAUGGCAAAGAACAGAUGUUUCUGAACCACAUCCAAGCAGGCACCAGCAAUUUUCUGCUCCUGGCCACCAAUCAGACAGCAGCACAAUGGGACCUUGAUUGGUCCCUGCAGGGGCAGCUGCAGUGUAAAUGAGAACGAUUUUCUGCUCAUGAAUAACAGAGAAAGCGUAGCCCUAUUGCUUGAGAACUGAAAUAUCUAGAAGGCAGCCUGACCUUUGCCUCUCCAUCUUACUCUGUAGAGACAUUGCUAAAAAAAAAAAUAAUUCUGUACAAUAUAACAAUAAUAUAAAAAAAGAGCCAACAACAAAUUCCUUUGCUAUUUAACAGGCAAGACUCAAGCAGACGUAAGACCUGUACCCUCCCCUGGGCUUUCUCCUGGGCAUGGCCGCUGGCCAGCUGGCUACUUCUCGCUUGUUUGCAGAGGAACGAAUCACACCCUUGCUUGCCAGCAGGUUCUUCUAUUUCUACUGGUUGUCACAGUAAUAAAUCACUUGUUGCUCCAAAACACAGCUCCUACCCAUCUUGUCGGGAAUCUGUAAACUCUUUGCAGCACAAAUAUCAGCCUGUUGCCGACUGGGCUUUCAGACUUCAGGGGUUGUUGUUUGCCAGUUCGUUAUUGCAUUGGAGCAAUAAAUUCCAUUUGCAAAAGCCUUCACCAUUCAAACUGGUUUGCCUUAGGAGCAAAUUAAUUGCUGCUGUACGACAUCAUCCCUGCUGUGACUCACAUGCUGCACAUUUAUCCUGCCUUGGCUGGAGGAGGGAGGACCGGCUGCCAGCUGGACCUCAGCCUUCCACACUGGGGCCGUCACGGUCUGCCAUGGGGGGAUCCUUACCACCGGGACUGCUCACAUGGGACCUGAGCAACUCAAAGGGGUAUUCAGAAAAAUGCAGCUUCACCAUCUUUGCUGUAAGGAGACAACACACCCGGAGUCCCUCAGAUUCACAAUCAACAUCCAGCAGGUGGUGAAAGAAGAAAACAUCUGGGAGUCGUGCAGUAAAGCUCAGAUUCCUCUCCCUUCCCUCUCUGGCCCUUAACAAACACCUCCAGGCACCUCCACCAUCCAUAGAGAUGGGAGAGAAGCAAGGGGACACGGCCUCUGCACAGACAAGAAAGGCAGCACAGGCAAACAGCAAGGUAAAGGUAGGUACACUUGAAUUCCUGCAGGUAAGGACUUCAGCAGGAAGCAAUAUUCCUGUGAGCACCUUG
ensembl:lncRNA